rnacentral:sRNA from 1 species
AAGUUGCAAAUGUAUUUUAGUUGGUGUAACGCCCGUGAACCGGAAAAUCGGUUAGGGUUUGUUUUUAAAUCAUCCGGUUUAAUUGGUUGGGUUAAUUGGAAACCCUAGAGUGUGCCUAUAAAAGAAGGAAACUCGAAAUUAGGGCUUUAGUUAGCCACUUUUCGUUUUAUAAAGGAGAAAAAGAGAGAAAAGGAGAAGGAGCAAAAUCGUUAGGGUUUGGGAGAAAUCAGUUUCGUCAUAUCAAAUCGUGGUAAAAGGUAACGAAAUUUAGUAGAGUUAUUCCCAAUUCCUUUAUCGUUAUU